AUUGAACGCUGGCGGCAUGCUUUACACAUGCAAGUCGAACGGCAGCGCGGGCUUCGGCCUGGCGGCGAGUGGCGAACGGGUGAGUAAUACAUCGGAACGUGCCCAGUAGUGGGGGAUAGCUCGGCGAAAGCCGGAUUAAUACCGCAUACGACCUGAGGGUGAAAGCGGGGGAUCUUCGGACCUCGCGCUAUUGGAGCGGCCGAUGGCAGAUUAGCUAGUUGGUGGGGUAAAGGCCUACCAAGGCGACGAUCUGUAGCUGGUCUGAGAGGACGACCAGCCACACUGGGACUGAGACACGGCCCAGACUCCUACGGGAGGCAGCAGUGGGGAAUUUUGGACAAUGGGCGAAAGCCUGAUCCAGCAAUGCCGCGUGUGUGAUGAAGGCCUUCGGAUUGUAAAGCACUUUUGGCGGGAACGAAAAGGACUGUGCCAAUACCACGCUUCGAUGACGUUACCCGCAGAAUAAGCACCGGCUAACUACGUG
rnacentral:rRNA from 1 species